AGCAGCCGCGGUAAUUCCAGCUCCAAUAGCGUAUAUUAAAGUUGUUGCAGUUAAAAAGCUCGUAGUUGAAUUUCGGGGUCAAUAAGUUGGUCAUGCCAAUGGUAUGCACUGGUUUUAUUGAUUCCUACCUCUUGACGAACUGUGAUGCCAUUAAUUUGGUGUUGCAAGGAAUCAGGACUGUUACCUUGAAAAAAUUAGAGUGUUUAAAGCAAGCUUACGCUUGAAUACAUUAGCAUGGAAUAAUGAAAUAGGACGUUUGAUCCUAUUUUGUUGGUUUCUAGGAUCGACGUAAUGAUUAAUAGGGAUAGUUGGGGGCAUUAGUAUUCAAUUGUCAGAGGUGAAAUUCUUGGAUUUAUUGAAGA
rnacentral:rRNA from 1 species